UUUCAACCUGCUUCUCAAAGAGUUCUAAGCGAGUUGUCAAAUAAUUACUAGAGCAUUUGUUAAUUUUGAUCUCACACUUGUUAGGGUUAACAUUCAUUCCCAUAAUAAACAUAUUUUUGACAGAUUCUGCAUUCACAAAUUUCAGGCUAGCUUCUAAGUCAGGAGACGGUGUUUCUUGGUUCUGUUUAUUUUCUGCAACUUGUGCAAUUUUUGCAUCUGAUUUUUUAUAAUCAGCAACUUCUUGACUGUCUUUAAGAGGACAUACUUUAUUCCUCUUGUAACCAAUAUUUGACUCUUCCACAUCUUCUUCCAAAUUGCG
rnacentral:misc_RNA from 1 species